CAGUAGCCACGGUAAUACGAACCGUGCGAACGUUAUCCGGAAUUACUGGGCUUAAAGCGCGUGUAGGCGGGCCGCCACGUCGGUUGCUGAAAUCCCCCGGCUCAACCGGGGAAGUGGCAUCGAUACGAGCGGCCUUGAGGGGGGUAGGGGGAUCUGGAACUUCCGGUGGAGCGGUGAAAUGCGUUGAGAUCGGAAGGAACGCCCGUGGCGAAAGCGAGGUCCUGGACCCCUUCUGACGCUGAGACGCGAAAGCCAGGGGAGCGAACGGGAUUAGAUACCCGAGUAGUCCCUGUCUCUUAUU
rnacentral:rRNA from 1 species